rnacentral:tRNA from 2 species
GUCCCCAUCGUCUAGCGGUUAGGACAGCGGGUUUUCAACCCGCCAACAGGGGUUCGAUUCCCCUUGGGGAUAUCA